AUGUCAUUUGCCGGCGUCUCGCUCGUCGGCGACGGCAAGGCCGUCGGCCAUGCCAUCGACGUCUCCACGACCAGCGGCUACCACCUGCUCGUGGUUAAUCGGUACUCGCACACCAAAGCCACUACACCUAAUGGCAAGACGAUCUUCUCUCUCCCUUUCAUGAUAGGAGGCCAUCGUUGGCGCAUCUGCUACUACCCUAAUGGCAAACACUCGGAGCAUGCCGACUCUAUAUCUCUUUUUCUUUUUCUCGAUGGAAAUAUUGCUGAGGCAGUAACGGUGAUGUACGACUUUAGUUUUGUCGACCAGCUUGAGAAGCAAAAUUCGGCAUAUAUUCGUUCGGUAGAGCCAAACAAUUUCUCCACUACAAUUCCAUAUUGGGGUUACAAGAGUUUCAUGAAAAGAGACGCCCUUGAGAAAUCAAAGCAUCUAAAGGACGACUGCUUCACCAUCCGAUGUGACAUCACCAUUGCUGGUACCAUUGAUCUCUUCAUCAAGGUACCGCCUUGUAGCAUACAACAACAUAUCAGCGACUUCCUCCUGUUCAAAGAGGGCACUGAUGUGGCAUUCAGGGUGAGUGGUGAGAUGUUCGCUGCCCACCGAUGCGUGCUUGCAGCUCGGUCUGCAGUCUUCAAGGCAGAGUUGUUUGGCCCCAUGAAAGAGAGCACAACAGGAAGUGUCAUGGAUGUAGAAGACAUGGAAGCAAAGGUGUUUAAGGCCUUGCUUGAUUUUAUUUACACCGACUCACUGCCCAAGAUGGAGAUAGACAUGGGGGAUGAGGAAGGAGAAGCCCAGGAAGCAUUGUGGCUGCAACACUUGCUUGCAGCAGCGGAUAAAUAUGAUCUCCAAAGGCUCAAAGGACUAUGUGAAGAGAAGCUGUGUGAACACAUAGAUGUGAGCUCGGUGACGACUAUUCUUACUCUAGCCGAGCAGCAUAAUUGUCAUGGGUUGAAGGGGGUUUGCUUUGAAUUCAUCAAGACUCCCGCCAAUUUGAAGGAGAUAACCGCGGCUGACGGCUUGGAGGAUAUAACUAAAACCUGUCCUUCCCUUCUAAAGGAGCUCAUUGCUAAGUUCGCUUCUUAA
rnacentral:rRNA from 1 species